AUGAGAAAAAGGGCAGAAGGAAACAGCAGUGGCUGUAAUAGUUACUGUAGCAGAGAAGGUAAAGGAAUCAUGGGAAGAAAUAGAGAAGACUUGGGUCCCAUCCAAGUCUCUCCACCCCCGUAUUUAAUGACUCCUGUUCCUCCUGUGCCAGCACCAGCACCCCAAAUAGAGCCAGAGCUAGUAGCAGUGCCUCCAGUGGCACUUAUAGUUCCAUUGGCUCCCCCACUGCCAAAACCUAAAGCAGAAAUAGCAGUGGCAGCAGCUAUUCCUCUGUCAGACCUCUAUGAACAUGUGAACCAAGAAGUGAAGAGGUUAUUAGAGGAUCAGAUGAAUCUCCCUUUGGGAGAACAUACCAAACAGUAUCCACUCAGAGAAGAGCCAGUAAGACAGGGGCUAGGAUAUGUUAGUGCCCCCCUCAGUGCCUCUGAGGUUCUGAGACCCUUCAGUGGAGGAAUGGUGAGAAAAUAUCGGCUAUUUCCAGAAGCAUCUCUGGUCCAGCUGCCUCCAAAAGGUUUUUGUCAACAGUCCCCGUUUGUGCAGUUACCAUGUCCUCCUCAUAGGGUAGCUCCAUCACGGCAUCAAGACCGCCAGUCCAGGGCCAGCUCAGCAGACACAAAGUAUAAGAGAGCUUCCUGUGUACAGCUACCUUGCCCCAGUAAUCAUUUGGAGGGAGCUUCAGCUCUAACUUUCCCAUCCCAUCUAUUCCCGUUGUUAUCUUUUUCUAUAUUUCAAACUCCUCAAUCUUCAGCAUGGCUGCAGCAGCAACCACUGACUAAGCAGCCUUCAACAGCAUCACCACCAUUACAAGCACCACCACCAUCUCGAUCUGGGCUACAGGCUUGGCCUCAUGCUUGGCCUCAUACUCGACCUCAACCUCAGCCUCAGCUUCGACCUCUACAUCAUUCAGCUUUGAUUCCCUCUUCAAAGCAACUUCUAUACUUCAGUGCUCAGAAGGGCAAGAAACAAGCUGAGGUUCCUCCUUAUGGAGGACGUAGAGCUAAGACUGCCUGUGGGAAAACUUCAUUGCACCCAGUCUGUCCCCAAAGUGCCUCAGCUAUGCAAAGAAGGAACCCUGCUAAUAAGUUUCUAUAGCCUUGGCUGGGUCUGAAAGGCUACACGGUGACUUGAUUUCCAGGGUACAGGGACACAUGGCCAAGACUGCCAGCUCAUGCCUCUAAACAUUUGGGUCAAUUGCCUCCAGAGGAGGCCUGCAAAAGGAGCAUAUACUGUAUCCCUUAGACCGGACCUCAGCCUCAGUCAGCCUCCAUGUCUACAUCUAUAUUCAUUACUGACAACAUCUAAACCUCCAAUAGAAAUUCCAUUCUUCUUUGUGUGGUGGACCAAGAACCAGGUUGAGGUUCCUCAUUAAGGAGAAUGUAGGGAUAAGAUUACAUAUGUAAUAACUUCAGUUGCACCUAAUAUACCCACAAAGUGUCUUGCCUGUGUGAGAAAAGAACCUUGGUUAUGAAACUAGAACAAUACCACGUCAAGGUCACCAAUUGAGUGUUGUUACUAUACUUUUGAGAUGUUUCCACCUAAACCACAAAGCAAAGAUUAUCUCGACUUGAAUCUUGUUCCAUGGUCACAGAGUUGAAAAAUACCAACUUGCUCUAGAACAAAGUUCUCUUUCUGCUGGGGAUAGUUAAAAUGUUAUGGUUUUCUCAUCAUAUUCCUGGACCUCAAAACCUGACCCAAACAACAAAGAUACAUAGAAGAGCUCUCACUUCCUGAUUUAUUAAUGGCUUCUUCAGUAAUUCCUAUAAAUCAUACCAGAGCCUCAAAUACUUGGGCAUCAUGUGCAUGCAUGCAUAGACUAUGUUAUUCAUAGGCACUUAUAAUUAGAAUCUGCUCCCCAGAACUUUAAAUCCCAGCAUCUCAGUUUCAUUCUCCUGUUAUAUCCUUACAUUUUGGAGAUAAAGUUUGUGUGUGACCCCACUCCACUCUUUUCCUGCAAAUGCAGCUGGGAAAACUUUUCUUUACUCAGGCUUUUAUUUUUGUCCUUUUAUUUCUUCUACUUCAAGUG
rnacentral:lncRNA from 1 species